rnacentral:lncRNA from 1 species
UUUUGACUUUUUAAAAUUAUAUGUGUAUUUAUAUCCAGUUGACAAAUAGCAUCACAAUUAUUACUGUAUAAAAAACUAAAAAUCACCAUGGAAGCUAAGGCCUAAAUUCUCAUUCCAAUUGUUCCCUUUUGUUGAUACCUAAGAGAUAUUAAUUAGAUUCCAGUACCUCAAAAAAAAAAACAAACCCAAAUAAACAAAAAAACCCAGGUCUACAUUAUUUACAUACAGUAUGGGAAAAAAAGCUGCUUUUUGGCUAACUUAGAUUGCGGUUACCUGCAGUAUUUACACUGUAAAUGUUAAGGGGAAGAAGCACUACUAACAAAUACCAUUUAAAAAAAAUAUAUUGUGCCUGGAAUUUUAUUCUUAAAUUAGUUGUAUAUCCUAAUAAGUGUCUGUUGAAUAGAAUUUGACUUCUAAUAAAUCUACUGAAAGUGUGAAACAGAGUACCACUAUGCUUCUUUAUAUUGCUAAUCUAGAUCCUGUUAGGUCCAAUAUUGUAGUUAACUAUAAGCACUGAACCUUAAAUGAAACAAUGGCAACAUGUGUGUAGAUGAAAUUUUAUUCAGUAUUGUAAAAUAUAAUGCCUUGAUGUUUACUCACAAUUAUGAGACUAUCCUAUUCUUUUAAUCCUUUAAGAAGUCUCAUAUGAUAGGUCCCUAAACAGUGAAACCUUCCAGUAACUUACCAGAAAAAAGUUUAAUUAUGUUAUUCUGUUCUUAGAUGUUUCUAAUAUUUAAAAGCAUAUCUAAACCCUUGGCAAAAACAAACACAAUCAAUUCAGUGUAACAGACUGAGCUUUAAACUGUACUUUAAUUUUCAAUAACUGUAACCUACUGGUUAAUUGAACCAAACGUAGAGUAUUUAAAUGACUCACUAUGAAGUGUGUCAAAUCAAUGAUAGAAUGCAUAGAAAAGUGGAGAUAAGUUUGGGGGAAGGUGCAAGGUGGGUUAAUGUGAAAAACGGUAAAUGCCAGUUUUAAUAACAAAAAUGGUACUAAACGCAGAUGAACAUUAAAUUAAUACAGUAUAAAAGAGAACAGCUUAAAUAAACUGGUAUUCACAUAUUACAAUAGCAAAGUUAUGACAGAAUGAACUGAAGACACGAACAGUUUUGAAAAUUCUCUUUUCAGCCUACUUCCAAAUAGAAAUAGUCAGGCUUUUUUCCUGUACAUAGUUUGAUGCUUUGUCUAUACCAUAUAUAGUAGAAAAAUAAAUUCUUUAGCAACCUAGAAACAGUUUAUAAAACUCUUAAAGUUUAAUUUUCUUUGCCAGACAUGCCAAUAGUUAAACUGACAACUAUAAAUUAAAGCUAUAUAGACAAUAGGUAUAAGUAAUAUAGAACAGGUUAAGAAUACUACAUUUACCGGAUUUUUUUUUAAAAAUUACUGUACUUUCUUAAUUCCUGUGUGCUUUGCAAUAGGAAUAAUAGGGACUUUGUUUUCUUAGAAAAGAUAACAUGUAAGAGUAUAACACAAAUAAGAUAAUUUAUAAUAUACAUGUACUUCAACAGCAGCCUGGUUCAUGCCAACAUCUUGGUUCUGAAGUUAAAAUUGGAAGUACAAUACCUAGAACUUAACAGUUGGGAGAGACAAUAUUUAUUUUAGGAAAAAACAGAGCAAAUCAAACUCUUAGGAGCCUUGAAUCUGAAAAUCAUCUAUUUACUAUAAUACACAUAAGAUAAUCUUAAAUUGUAGUAUGAAUUAAGAUAACAUUGACCAAAUAAUUUUUUUCUUUACUACACAAAAUAUAACCUAGUGAAAUUUACCUGUGCCACCUAUUCUGAAAAUUUUAUCCAUAAUUUAGUGUUCUGGUUUUAUCUUCACUAACAAAAUGUUUACCCCCAAAAGCAGCAGUCACUUAUAGUAAUUCUGGUACCAACAUCAAAGGAAAAAAUUGGCUUAAAAAUGGUGCAAAAGCCAUUUUGGAUUUUAGUACAACACAUCACAGAAAAGAAUAUGAAUACAAAUUUGUAAUAUAAACACUCCAAAGAGUCUGUCAGUACCCAAAGUAUUUUUAUUGCUAUAUUAGCAAUGGGUUUUUUGGAUAUUUUUUAAGGGCCACAUAAAAAUAGAUUCAAGGAACAAAUUAAAUUGAAGUCCUAGAUUUAAAUGUUUGGUUUAAAGAAUUUUCUACAACAAAUUUCAUGUUUAUGUAUGAAAAGUUAUAUAACCUUAUAUGAAAAUGUCAUGGAAGUAUUUUCUACACUAUACUAAAUGUGUUCCCCAAGAGGGAAAAAAUUAAAAUAUCUAAAAUAUAUUAGAUUAAGAUUACAAGACCAUCAUAGAUCUUUUGAACAUGCAUCUGUUUACAGAAUUAACAGUAUACAAAAUUUUUAUUUCAUUAUGGACCAUAAAGAAAUGAGUUGGUGACAACUAUCCUUUGCACAACAUUAUCAACUCACUUUAGCCACAAGCAUGUCCUUGGUAUGUGUGUAAAAGAAAUAGGUUCAUUUAUCCCUCAUCAAAUCAUCCACGGGUUUACUUGGAAGUAAAGAUGAAGGUACAGAAAUGUGAAAUAUGUCAAGUGUAUUUUUUCUUUCUUUCAAACAACAUCCCAAGCAUGGCCUCAGUAGCCUGAAAUUAUAAAAUACUUAACUGGGCUUUUAGUUAUCUACACCGACUGCCAGAAUGUAAAUUAAGUUGCCCAAAUUAGCACAUCAAAUAACAAAAUCAGCCAGAAAGCAGGCUGAAAAGCAUUAAAUGUUUCAUAUAGGUGAGUUUUUAAAUCAUUUAAUUUCUAUAGAAAAAUUUUAUUCACAAUAUAAGGUGACAGAAAUUGCCACAGGAAUGAUAUACUGAUUGCAAUAAGGUUGCAUGCAGCAGCAGCUUUGUACUUUAUAGCUAUUUUUGUUUAUAAAAAUUAAACCUCUCCAGUCAUGCUUAUCACAUGGUCUUAGAUUUGUAAUGUAAGUGAAUAAGGAAUACCAUCUAGUUCAAAGAGAAAAUGUAAUUUUGAAUGUGAAUUAUCUGUAUGAAACAUGAAGUAUACUACUGAACCCUGAAACAUGCAUGUCUAGAUUUGCUUUUUGUCCAAAUCCAGCCUGUUUGCAAUCACUUCCUACUCAUAUAAUACCAAGAGGAUCCGUUUGUAAUUGUGGUUGUAUCAGCUGAGGUUGCAAUGGUGGCGGCAACUGAAGUGGCACCAUUGGUUCCACCAACUGUCCUGGGUUUGAAGGUGGUGGAGGAGCCACAAUGUUUGUCGUUUCUACAAUUUCUCCAUUGUAAAAGAAAAACUGACACUGCUGAAUGAAUGUUUCAACAACAGAUUGAUGAAUCUUAGUAGUAGACAGAAACUCUCGAUUUUCAAAAUCAGGUCUCAUCAAGGUUGGCCAAAAACAGAUGGAUAAGUUGUCUGCUGUCAUUAGGUUGAUUUUAUGUUGCUGACUAACCCUGAAAUUAUGAAAGGAAAAAACAUUUAGAAAUCAAAACUCAUUACAAUCACAGAAUUCCAGAGCUAGAAAUGAUCUCAGAUUUAAUGUUACCUUUUAUCCUACUUCAAACCUGGGGUUUAAAAAUUUGCAUAAAGAAGCAUCUUUAAUUCGUAUGUAAAAAACUUUUCCUGGGCCAGGUGCAGUGGCUCACGCCUGUAAUCGCAGCACUUUGGGAGGCUGAGCCACGGCGCCUGGCCCCACUUUUCUUUUCAGGCUUACAAACUACACAGAUCAGGGAAAAGACAACCAAGCAAUAAGCCUUUUCUGUUAUAAUAAAAAAAUGCUGUUAGGCUUAUUAGUAUAUUGAGGAACUUUACUAAUAUCUAUCUUUUUUUUUUGUUUAUACAGCUAUUUAAAAGAGGCCACAAGAGGCAGGUGAGGUGGUGCGUACCUGUAGUCCCAGCUACUCAGGAAACUAAGGUGAGAGGAUCACUUGAGCCCAGGAGUUUAAGUCCAGCCUGGGCAACAUAGUGAGACCCUGUUUCUUUGGAGGAGGAAAAAAAAAAAAG